GCCAAAAACUCAGCUCUACUCGCCCAAAUGCUCACCCCAUAUAAUUUUCACCAAACAAAACAUUUUCCCCAUUUAGUAAAGGCGAUUAAAAAAUGUUUAGAAGCUAUAGAAUCUAGUACCGCAAGGGAAAAGUGAAAUAAAAAUGAAAUAUUAUAAAGCACAAAACAGCAGAGAUUUUACCUCGUACCUUUUGCAUCAUGGUUUAACUAGUCCAACCAAGCGCAACGCACUUUAAGUUUGACACCCCGAAACUAGGUGAGCUACUUAAAAACAGCCUUCAGGGCCAACCCGUCUCUGUUGCAAAAGAGUGGGAAGAUUUUUUAGUAGAGGUGACAGACCUACCGAGCCUAGAGAUAGCUGGUUAUUCAAGAAAAGGAUUUAAGUCCUACCUUAGGUUUCACGUACAUUUUAAUACACAACAAAUCUUAAGAGCCAUUCAAAUAAGGUACAGCCUAUUUGAAACAGGAUACAACCUCACCCAAUGGGUAACUAAUUUUAUAACCAACCAAGUGGGCCUAAAAGCAGCCACCUUACGAAAAGCGUUAAAGCUUCAUUGUAUUAACCAAAAAUUCCACCAACCAAUCACAACCCUUAUUCUUAUAUUGAAUGACUUCAUAAUAUUAUGAAGAACUAUAUGUUAAAACUAGUAACAAGAAGAAGCCCUUCUCCAAAAUGUAAGCUUGAGCCAUAAUGAACAAAUCACUGGCAUUUAAAGUCCAUAAUCCACUAUUAGCAACUCUAACCUAGAAAACCCUACUUAUUGAUACGUCAACCUUACACUAGCACAUUUAUGGAAAGACUAAAAGAAUAGGAAGGAACUCGGCAAAUAACUAACCCCGCCUGUUUACCAAAAACAUCGCCUUCUGAUACUCAUAGAAGGUCCAGCCUGCCCAGUGACUAAGUUAAACGGCCGCGGUACCCUAACCGUGCAAAGGUAGCGCAAUCACUUGUUCUUUAAAUGAGGACUAGUAUGAACGGCAUCACGAGGGUUAUACUGUCUCCCUAUUCCAUUCAGUGAAACUGAUCUUCCCGUGAAGAAGCGGGAAUAUAAAUAUAAGACGAGAAGACCCCAUGGAGCUUUAAACUCAGUGUCAUCUGCCACUUCAAUAUCCUCUUAACCACGCAGACAUGAUAACUAGUUUUCGGUUGGGGUGACCGCGGAGUAAAACAAAACCUCCACAACGAAAGGAACUAACAACCUAAUCCAAGAGCAACAUCUCUAAGAAUCAACAAAUUGACUUAAUUGAUCCAAUUACUUGAUCAACGAACCAAGUUACCCUGGGGAUAACAGCGCAAUCCAUUUCAAGAGCUCAUAUCGACAAAUGGGUUUACGACCUCGAUGUUGGAUCAGGGUAUCCCAGUGGCGCA
rnacentral:rRNA from 1 species